AGAGCCCACAACAGGCUUCAUUUGAAAUCUCACAGUUGAAAUAUGUGAUAUAUUAAAGUUCACCUUGCAGGUGUGGGCAUUCAGAUCACCAACGCUGUGACCUCGCUGUGUGCAUGGGAGCUACUACAGGAAGGAAGCUUACAAAUGAACUGCAUGGAUCCCACAUUUUGCUAAAAUCAAAUAGGACCUUUCUCUUCUUUGUUGAAUGCCGUAAUGCACAAGAAAUAAGCCAGCAGAAUGCUCACGUCCAAGAGAGAAGAACAACAUGGACGAUAAAGACCAAUGUGGUUUUUUGUAAAUCUAAUCUUUUGAAAGGUCUGCCUUCAUCUACCACCUGA
rnacentral:lncRNA from 10 species